CACUCAAGCACUGCUUGGUAUUGGGCAUCGUCCGCCGUAAAGGCGGGCGUGCCUCGAAGACCUCGGCGGGGUUUCUCCAACUUCGGGCGUAGUAGAGUUAAAUCAAACGUCUUAUAAGCUUGGUGAGAUCUCAUUGCCGUUAAACCCUUUAUAUUUUUCAGGUUGACCUCGGAUCAGGUAGGGAUACCCGCUGAACUUAA
rnacentral:misc_RNA from 1 species